rnacentral:lncRNA from 10 species
ACCGGAAGCACCGCCAUUGGCCGGUGCGUGCAGGUGGCAGCCAAGAGCCUCCUGGCACAGCGGCACCAGGCAGGUGACGCCUAUUGGACCCCAGAGGUCAUCCCAGCUCCAGACGUGGACACAUUUUCUUCCAAUGCGUGGAGCCAGGGUAGAAGUCACAGUGCAAGGAAGAUGUGGUAUGCCUGGUCAGUCUCUGCAUGGGAGUUGAGGAGCAUGUGGGUGACAUGGCUGAAUGUGGAGGAGGGAAUGGCAGUGGCAGGAAGCCCAGGAGGUUUGGGCUGGACACGUAACCUGGAGCAGAUUGGAAACGUCACCCCACAAGCAGGGAAGGAGAAAACUGGAAAAGGAAAGAGAAAGCAACUCCCUCCCCAGCCCUGCAGCCAGAGGGACUUCUGCCAGAUCAGCCACCAUACAGGUCCAGUAUGAGGAACAGAUGGGGAAUUUUAUGUCCAAGUAUAAUCACUAUGAAUACAUGUGUUG